rnacentral:lncRNA from 1 species
UUCUUCCAGAUAUAUUCCCUGCUCAUAGUAUGAAAGAAAGGCAAGGUCGCUACAUAGAACUACCAGCGAAACCAUGCAGUUAUCCCAACAACAUUGCCACCAGCCGGUGCACCACCAAUGCUAAAACUUCCAGCCACAUCAAACAAAAGAUUCAAAAUGCCAUCAACAAAGCCAUGCAAGGA